UUUUUUCCUUCAGAUGAUUCCCCUAGGAUCAGGAAUGGUCGUGGAAAGACUAGAGGGAAAGGUCUUGAAAGGAUGAGGAAGACUAUGGGAAGCAAGAUGAAAAUUGAGAUCCCGAGUUGGUAAAGGGAGGCCAACUAAGCCAACUCAAUCGGCAAAAUUAUCCAAUGAACUAGGGAUAAUUGCCGAAAUUUUCUUUCGCUUCCAAACAAGUGGAAGGAACUCACAAGAGAGGACAAAGAUGCAGCACUAAUUAGAUGCCACGAGAAGUUUGAAAUUGAUUUGGACGAGCAUUACGUGAAAGAUAGUUGUGAGGAUAUUUUGAAAAAUAGAAGCCGACAAUGGCGGUACAAGUUAAAACGACUAUUUGAAAGCGCACGUUCGGAGGAAGAAGCUCGUAAAAUUGAAGUGCCAGAGUUGACCCGAGAAAAUUGGAAUAAGCUUUGUGAUAUGUGGGCUGAUCCAGAGCAUAAGAAACGAUGCGACAUAAACAGGGCCAAUCGAAGUAAGCUUAAAAUUAAUCAUUUCAUGGGGUCAAAAGCGUUUGUACCGGCUCGUGCUGAACUUGCUGAAAAUGGAGUAGAGCUGAUAGAAUUGAGUUUCUACAAGAGUACUCAUUA